rnacentral:rRNA from 1 species
AGUUCGGAUUGAAGGCUGAAAUUCGCCUUCAUGAAGCCGGAAUUGCUAGUAAUGGCAGGUCAGCAUACUGCCGUGAAUACGUUCCCGGGCCUUGUACACACCGCCCGUCACACCAUGAGAGUUGGGGAUACCCGAAGCCUGUGAGCCAACUGUAAAGAGGCAGCAGUCGAAGGUAGAAUCAAUGAUUGGGGUGAAGUCGUAACAAGGUAGC